CUCUCGCUGGGGAUUUUGGUGGCUGUGCUGACAGCCGUGCCACGCAGGCUGUGCCACCACCGGGGGCCUUUCCCCUCACUGCGCUCCGUGUCCCCGCUCCCAGCCUGCGAAAUCAGCCCCUCAGCACCACGUCCCCAGGCUGGGAGCAGACCCCAAGCUUCACCCCAAAGAGCUGAGGGGACGACAACGAAGCUUCCCCCCCCCCCCCCCAACCCUCUCCUCCCUCCUCCGGCCGCCGGCUCCGGGCCGCCCCCGGCGCGUCCCGUCCGUCCCCCGGGAGGCCGGCUCUCCCUCCGCGCCGCCCCGGCUUCCUUCGCCGCAGGUGAGCCGCCUUCGUGUCCCCCCCCCCUUUCGCUUCCCUUUUCCGCCCAGGUGAGAGCCGGCGGCAGCCAUCAUCGCUCCGGCCUCUCAGCAGCUCUUCGCGGAGGGCGAGUGCUUGUCAAGGCUGCUGCCAGAGGUGUCGUGUUCCUCCCUGGGUCUGGGACGUGCUGGGGAUGAGCACCCUGCGUCUCGUGCAAGUGGCAGGCGGCUGGGGGGCCGUGGCAAUAGAAGACUUAAACCUUUCAGCUCUUCUGAUGACCUCUGCUGGCAUCAGCAUGGGGGAAUUCCUGUUUUCUUAGUCUGCUUUUGAAGAAGAUCCAAGUCUUAGGAUCUCAUACAAAACCUUAUGAAACUUUCCCGCUCCCUACGAUGCGUUGAGUCCAGCUCUUCAAAAGUGAAGACAGUAAAAACCCAGAUGCAUGCUGUGCUGAAGUGUUGUGUUUGUUUUGUUGUUUUUUUUUUUCCUGGUAUUGGAAAAUACUGAGCUUCCUGAAAUCCACGAUUUUCACAAUGAUUUUACGAUUACGUUGAGAGUUGGGACAUGAAUUUUGAACUUUGAGGUUUGCAGUUUUGUCUACCAAUAGGAUAAUUAAGUGGCUGGAGAAAUCAGAGAAUGGAGCUAAGGAAUUUGAGUGCAGAGUGGGGAAACUGCUUCUAACGAGACAAACCAUAGUGUUUUGGGAUCAUCCUUCAAAAUUAUCGUCUAAGAACGGACCUCCUAAUUUAGCAACACUCUGCUGACACCCGGCUCAGACUUGAGCAUCAGUGUUUGGAGAUGGAUUAGGGAUGACCUAUUUGGGUCCCCAAACAUCAACAGAUUGCUAAUAUAGGGAGUUGUGUGUUUCCCUGGAGCCCAAAAGCUAGUCGCAGGGACUUGUCCUCAAUUAUAUGGUACUCGAAAACUUGAAGUUAGUUUAUAUUCGUAGAGAUGCCCUCACACCAGAAGGAGCUGUCUACUUUAAAAUAAAACACUUUUGUUUUCCCCUACUCUUUUUGCGAAAGAUCAGAGAACAAAGAAACACCGGGGGUGGUUUUAACGUACUGCACAAAAAUUAAAUCAUUAAAACCAUUGCAAGCUGGCUGGAAGCCAGGUGUGAUCACGAGGAAUCCCGAAGUGCUGUGUAAACUUUCAUUUUUAUACCAACUGUACUCGAGAUCCACUUCAGCAUCUGCUGGGGCAGAAAGGUGGGCAGUGGCUCU
rnacentral:lncRNA from 1 species